rnacentral:lncRNA from 1 species
AAAAUAAAAAAAACAAGUGAAACUGCGAGCUACUGCUCACUGAUGAUACCCCCGCCGCAAGUGGAUAAUAUUAAUAGUGUAAAAAGAUGCAAGUGUUCGGUAAACAGGAAGUUGUCGAGUGAUGAAUCUGAAAACGCAUCACACGGUAUAGCUGACUUUAUAAAAAUCCUGAAACCAAAUUUCAGAAAUCCUUGUAUUGUAGUUCCUGAGAAAAAUGUGACGAAAAUUUUUAACUUGGUUAUCAUGUGUAAAAUCAUACAAGUGUUCGGUAAACUGCGAGCUACUGCUCACUGAUGAUACCCCCGCCGCAAGUGGAUAAUAUUAAUAGUGUAAAAAGAUGCAAGUGUUCGGUAAACAGGAAGUUGUCGAGUGAUGAAUCUGAAAACGCAUCACACGGUAUAGCUGACUUAUAAAAAUCCUGAAACCAAAUUUCAGAAAUCCUUGUAUUGUAGUUCCUGAGAAAAAUGUGACGAAAAUUUUUAACUUGGUUAUCAUGUGUAAAAUCAUACAAGUGUUCGGUAAACAGGAAGUAGUCGAAUGAUGAAUCUGAAAACGCAUCACACGGUAUAGCUGACUUAUAUAAAUCUGAAACCAAAUUCAGAAAUCCUUGUAUUGUAGUUCCUGAGAAAAAUGUGACGAAAAUUUUCAACUUGGCUAUCAUGUGUAAAAUCAUACAAGUGUUCCGUAAACAGGAAGUUGUCGAAUGAUGAAUCUGAAAACGCAUCACACGGUAUAGCUGACUUAUAUAAAUCUUGAAACCAAAUUUCAGAAAUCCUUGUAUUGUAGUUCCUGAGAAAAAUGUGACGAAAAUUUUUAACUUGGUUAUCAUGUGUAAAAUCAGACAAGUGUUCGGUAAACAGGAAGUUGUCAAGUGAUGAAUCUGAAAACGCAUCACACGGUGUGGCUGACAUAUAUAAAUGUUGAUACCAAAUUACAGAAAGGGUGGAUGUGUAGUUCCUGAGAAAAAAUGUGACGAAAGUUUCAUGGGACGGACUGACUGACUGACGGACGGACUGACGGACGGACUGAUGGACGGACGGACGGACGGACGGACUGACAGACAGAGGUAAAACAGUAUACCCCCCCUUUUUUAAAGCGGGGGUAUAAAAAA